CCUACGGGAGGCAGCAGUGGGGAAUAUUGGGCAAUGGAGGAAACUCUGACCCAGCGACGCCGCGUGCGGGAUGAAGGCCUUCGGGUUGUAAACCGCUUUCAGCAGGGAAGAAGCGAAAGUGACGGUACCUGCAGAAGAAGCACCGGCUAACUAUGUGCCAGCAGCCGCGGUAAUACAUAGGGUGCAAGCGUUGUCCGGAAUUAUUGGGCGUAAAGAGCUCGUAGGUGGUUCGUCACGUCGGAUGUGAAAAUCUGGGGCUUAACCCCAGACCUGCAUUCGAUACGGGCGAGCUUGAGUAUGGUAGGGGAGUCUGGAAUUCCUGGUGUAGCGGUGGAAUGCGCAGAUAUCAGGAGGAACACCAAUGGCGAAGGCAGGACUCUGGGCCAUUACUGACACUGAGGAGCGAAAGCGUGGGGAGCGAACAGGAUUAGAUACCCUGGUAGUCCACGCCGUAAACGGUGGGCACUAGUUGUGGGGACCUUCCACGGUCUCUGCGACGCAGCUAACGCAUUAAGUGCCCCGCCUGGGGAGUACGAUCGCAAGNUUAAAACUCAAAGAAAUUGACGG
rnacentral:rRNA from 1 species